GUUCAUGAUGAUCAUUUUCGUAUCAAUAUACGCUGGAAAUUACCGGCUGAGUUUUUCAUUGAUGAUAACAAAUGGCUAUUUCUGAUU
rnacentral:snoRNA from 1 species